CGGUAACAGCUCAAAUUUGAAAUCUGCCGCAAGGCCGAGUUGUAAUUUGUAGAAGAUGCUUUGGGUAUGGCCCCGGUCUAAGUUCCUUGGAACAGGUCAUCAUAGAGGGUGAGAAUCCCGUAUGUGGCUGCUUGUCUUCGCCGUGUAAAGCCCCUUCGA
rnacentral:rRNA from 1 species